GUAUGUGUUAGUGUAUGUGUGUGUGUUUGUCUAUGUGUGUGCUAGUGUGUGUUUGUAUGUGUGUUAGUGUAUGUAUGUGUGUGUUAGUGUGUGUUAGUGUAUGUGUGUUAGUGUGUGUUAGUGUAUGUGUGUGUUUAUGUGUGUUAGUGUGUGUGUUUGUGUAUGUGUGUGUUUAUGUGUGUUAGUGUUUGUGUAUGUGUGUUUGUGUGUGUUAGUGUGUGUGUUAGUGUAUGUGUGUCAGCAUGUCUGUGUGUGUGUGUGUCAGCAUGUCUGUCUG